UUGCAUUUGACCUCAAAUUCAGGUAG
rnacentral:rRNA from 1 species